UACAUUUUUGUAACCUGGAUCAUUGCACAAUACGACUAGUUGUGUAACCAGAGGUUAAAUAAGGAAAUUCUUAUUCAAGUUCCACUUUAUAUGCAUAUUUUUUCUUGGAUUGCUAGAAUAGAGAUUACAACUUCAAAAAGGGGAAAAAAGUAAUAAAAUGUGGUUAUGCUCAACUUGUUAUAAGGAAAACAGUGUGGAGGAUGGUAAUUGUUCAGAAUGCCAUACAGAACGACCACUGUCAAGAAACUCAAAGGCAAAAGUAUCUCCUAAAGAAUCAGAUACCAGAGAACUAAAUGCCCGGAAAGAAUGUAACGUGAAUGGAUCAAUCGGAGUGAUAAAAAAGAUUUCAGAUUCAGAGAGAACUAACGUCAAAGACGAAAAUUGUAACUUAGAUGAUAUGGAACAAAGACCAAAACAAGAUUGUCAAGAUCCAGAAAUAUCUAGAAAUCAG